rnacentral:lncRNA from 1 species
UUUUUUUGUUUUAAGUGACGAUAUCACCAAUGCUUGCAAGCCUAGACCUCCUGACUACUGUUUCCUGAACGAAUUGUCAUUAUUUUAUUUCGUAUUCCUUAACCGCUCUGCUGUAUGAUUAGGCCAUUUCCUACGAAGCAAACCCAUUAAAACAAUAACUAUUUCGUCUACCUCAGGCAGGAAGGGCAGAGCUGAAAACAAGCAAGGCACACCUGACGUGAGCAACCUGCAGAAAUGCUUGGACUUCUUCGUGCAUGCAUUCAUGCUUGGAUUCGGCAUUCGGAUGCCAUCGCCUUACGACCUUUACGUGGAUUCAUUCGAGGUAAAAGGACGUGAAGAGGCUCCGAGGGGAAGGUAGGCAAGACCAAGUAUAUGCCGUCGAGGACUCGACCAGGCCAGGACGCGGACUGUUAUCACGGACACGGAGAUCCAUAUCCUUGGGUCCUUUCAACAUUGUGAUCGAUGCCGUCCAACCGUUGCUAGCCGCGCCGCCCAAGUCCCUCGCCGGGAGGCCGCAUCCCCUGGGAUUCUACGGCCCGGCCGGAAUUGGGCGCGGGGCUUGUCAUGUGCGUGAACAAAAACAGCACCUAUGUUUCAUACUUACAAAUCACAAAACGUCCAAUGAUUUAACAACAAAGUACUUGCAGCAGCAAACUUACUAGAAUACCAAUUCUCAUCAUCUCAUCUCAACAUAUCAAAGAACACACGUAUGCCUCUCAUGCCAACUCAUCGGCACAAUCAACCACUUCACAUAUGGAUCAAUAGCAAGUAAGAUGGUGACUGAAUCAACACAUAUGGCAAGAAAAAUACCAAAUCAAUAGUAGACACCAAGAUUCAUGUGGAAACCCCUUGCGGGAAAAAACCACGAGCGGCGGCAAGCAAUCCACUAUAUGAAGAAGCAAUACAAGAGGUGGGAACCAACAAGGUGGGAAGCUCCAAAUCCCCCACGGAUUUCACUUUCUAUUGGAUGGAUUUGGUGGAUCUAAACCUCUCCUCUCCUUAACCCUAACUCUCGUCCAAGGUGGAAGAACGUAACAGAAUACUUUGUUCCUAUUCGAGUUGGGCUGCCCCUUAAAAUGGCAAACUUGUAAAGAGGCUCCAAAGUUGCAAAUUGUCACAACCAGCCCCAAUUUCAAUAUACAAUAUGUAUAGGCAAUGCUUGCCAUAACAAAUGAGCUAAUGGGCUUCCAAAUUGAUGAAAUUAGGAGCUGGACAUCAGGCACAGGGUUGGCAAAGCUUCGCGCGCGUGCACGCACGCCCAUUGGAUGGAAUUGGCACUUGGCAGAUCAGUGAACGUCCUGUUCGCUGCCGUACGUAGCUAGCUGUGUGACCGCGUCUGUGUGCACGGCGUGCAUGCAUGUGCAUGGCACGCAUCGGUUCAAUUAUUUGCACCGUCAAGUACUUGCAUUGGUUCUUUCUGCAUGCAGUAAAUCACUCAACGCCCAAGGCGAAAAAUGGCCCCUCGGCCGAGUUGGUCGUGUCAUUUUCUUCUUCUUUAGCACCAAGGGGACAGGGUGACGUGUUGCCUGAUCAUCAUCGACCCGGCGGUCGUUGCAACAUCGAUCAAAGCCUACGAAAAGGGUCCACUUUGCAUGCUACAAACGUUGACUGGGGGGCAAGGAGAGAAGAGGCAGGAAAGUACCCAGCUCAGAGCUUGACGCAUCUGAUUUAUUUUCAGUCGGUUGCGUAGCUUAUAUGUUCAUCGUAUAGAUUUCUGAAACAACAAGUAAUUUUCCAGAUAAGAAAUAAACGAGAACAUAUAAAUGCAUGAUAGAAUCUAUGGGACCAAGUAUUUUCUUAAGUGUUUGAAAACAAGAUAGAUUUCACCGUCAAUCUAUGUGAUAGUAGCGCGCGGAACAAUCACGACACGGGUGGAGUACGUAUACACUGGAAGGAUAGCCACAAGAUAUGGCAUGACAUACGCCAGGAGUAAUAGCAGGGAAAAUAAUCGUAAUAAGCAAAUCACCGUCUAAUACUAGUUUGUUUCUCUAGAUCAACAGCAACCACCAUAAUACGUAAGUAGCUGGUUGUUGAUCUUGAUCCAAGAUCCUAAGACGGUGAUCGAGCAAAUAAAUUGUUUUCAUGCACUUGAAAAAUAGCAAAAAUCAAAGGCCUACUACCAAUAUUGGUUGUGAACAAAACAAUCAGCGGAAACAAUACAUAGGAUGAUGGAUGCCGAGAUAUACGGAGGAAAUCAUCAACAUCUUUGCACACAGCUUAAUAUCUCAACUUCAUAUUAUUGAUGACAGUAGUCAACGCAUUGAGGAAACCGGGUAACAAAGGAGUAGCGCGCUACAACACCAAUUAACUAAUUAUUAGCGGUACAAAAGAAGAACACCAAGGUUUAUACCACAUAUCACACCACUUCGAUCAUAAACCCCUGGAUAUUGGUACAGAUACCCAAGAACACAAGGUUCAUCCCCCUAUCUUCAUCCACGUACCCGUCAUCAAGAUACACUACCACCCCCAGAUCAGACCAGAACAAUUGCCAAAGGAUACAAGUUGCCCUACCUUAGUAGAGAGGUAAAAACACGCCGCCGUCGACGACGCCGAGGCCACGGCCGCGGCCGUCACUCCUCAACGAGGGGAGUAGCCGCCGUCAUCUCCAUGGCCACGAGCCCACGCCCCCACCCUAUAGGCGUCGUCCGAAGCGCAGCCACCCGUUGCCGAGACACACGCACGCUCCAGAAUAAGAACACGGCCACGCACCAUGACAUAAGCCUGUAGAUCUUUGCGUGUGCUGCUUGGAUAAUGUGUGGAGCUCGCGUUCCCCCCUGCCGCCGCCCUGGGCGUACGUGGGCUUAAGAGGGGGAGGAGAGGGAGCUCCCAUUGGGCGCUUUUAUUUGGACGCUUCGCUGCCUCUUUGAGGAUCCGAGGGGGCUUUCUGCAGAAACGUUUUUUCUAAUGCCAAAAAGCUCCUCGCCUACGCCUAUGCUACCUAAAUCCU